CUCCUGUGAACGAGACCGCCG
rnacentral:miRNA from 1 species